AGAGCGAACGCUGGCGGCAGGCUUAACACAUGCAAGUCGAGCGCCCCGCAAGGGGAGCGGCAGACGGGAGAGUAACACGUGGGAACGUACCUUUCGGUUCGGAACAACCCAGGGAAACUUGGGCUAAUACCGGAUACGCCCGCAAGGGGAAAGAUUUAUCGCCGGAAGAUCGGCCCGCGUCUGAUUAGCUAGUUGGUGAGGUAACGGCUCACCAAGGCGACGAUCAGUAGCUGGUCUGAGAGGAUGAUCAGCCUCACUGGGACUGAGACACGGCCCAGACUCCUACGGGAGGCAGCAGUGGGGAAUAUUGGACAAUGGGCGCAAGCCUGAUCCAGCCAUGCCGCGUGGGUGAUGAAGGCCCUAGGGUUGUAAAGCCCGUUUCGGCGGGAAGAGUAAUGACGGUACCGCAGAAGAAGCCCGGCUAACUUCGUGCCAGCAGCCGC
rnacentral:rRNA from 1 species